rnacentral:rRNA from 1 species
AGUGAACGCUGGCGGUAGGCCUAACACAUGCAAGUCGAACGGCAGCACAGGAGAGCUUGCUCUCUGGGUGGCGAGUGGCGGACGGGUGAGGAAUACAUCGGAAUCUACUCUGUCGUGGGGGAUAACGUAGGGAAACUUACGCUAAUACCGCAUACGACCUACGGGUGAAAGCAGGGGACCUUCGGGCCUUGCGCGAUUGAAUGAGCCGAUGUCGGAUUAGCUAGUUGGCGGGGUAAAGGCCCACCAAGGCGACAAUCCGUAGCUGGUCUGAGAGGAUGAUCAGCCACACUGGAACUGAGACACGGUCCAGACUCCUACGGGAGGCAGCAGUGGGGAAUGUUGGACAAUGGGCGCAAGCCUGAUCCAGCCAUACCGCGUGGGUGAAGAAGGCCUUCGGGUUGUAAAGCCCUUUUGUUGGGAAAGAAAUCCAGCUGGCUAAUACCCGGUUGGGAUGACGGUACCCAAAGAAUAAGCACCGGCUAACUUCGUGCCAGCCGCCGCGGUAA